rnacentral:rRNA from 1 species
CCUACGGGUGACUGCAGUGGGGAAUAUUGCACAAUGGGGGAAACCCUGAUGCAGCGACGCCGCGUGAGUGAAGAAGUAUUUCGGUACGUAAAGCUCUAUCAGCAGGGAAGAAAAUGACGGUACCUGACUAAGAAGCCCCGGCUAAAUACGUGCCAGCAGCCGCGGUAAUACGUCGGGGGCAAGCGUUAUCCGGAUUUACUGGGGGUAAAGGGAGCGUAGACGGCAGCGCAAGUCUGGAGUGAAAUCCCAUGGCUUAACCAUGGAACUGCUUUGGAGACUGGGCAGCUAGAGUGCAGGAGAGGUAAGCGGAAUUCCUAGUGUAGCGGUGAAAUGCGUAGAUAUUAGGAGGAACACCAGUGGCGAAGGCGGCUUACUGGACUGUAACUGACGUUGAGGCUCGAAAGCGUGGGGAGCAAACAGGAUUAGAUACCCUAGUAGUC